rnacentral:rRNA from 1 species
CCCUACGGGAGGCAGCAGUGGGGAAUCUUGCACAAUGGGGGAAACCCUGAUGCAGCGAUGCCGCGUGAGUGAAGAAGGCCCUUGGGUUGUAAAACUCUUUCGUCGGGGAAGAAAAUGACUGUACCCGAAUAAGAAGGUCCGGCUAACUUCGUGCCAGCAGCCGCGGUAAUA